GAUUGCGGCAGGACAACAUCUGCGUCCCUGACCUCCAGUGUGAUCGCUAAACGCUGACAGAGGAAUACCAGAUAGGCACCAGCGAUGACAUAUUCCUGGACAUUAGUGUAGUAAAUGCGAACGAGGAUGCGUUCGAAGCUCAGGUGUUGGUGGCCAUGCCGGAUGGAGUAGACUUCAUCAAGCUGGUGAAAGGGACAGGCGAUGACUCAGCAACUGCUUGCUCCUACAUCACGUGCUGUAAGG